UACGUAGGCAGCAAGCGUUGUUCGGAAUUACUGGGCGUAAAGAGUACGUAGGUGGUUUGCUAAGUCCGAUGUGAAAUCUCCCGGCUUAACUGGGGGGGUGCGUUAGAUACUGGCAGGCUUGAGUGUGGGAGAGGGAAGCGGAAUUCCGGGUGUAGCGGUGAAAUGCGUAGAUAUCCGGAGGAACACCGGUGGCGAAGGCGGCUUCCUGGACCGACACUGACGCUGAGGCGCGAAAGCUAGGGGAGCAAACGGG
rnacentral:rRNA from 1 species